UACGUAGGGGGCAAGCGUUGUCCGGAAUUAUUGGGCGUAAAGCGCGCGCAGGCGGUCCCUUAAGUCUGAUGUGAAAGCCCACGGCUCAACCGUGGAGGGUCAUUGGAAACUGGGGGACUUGAGUGCAGAAGAGGAAAGUGGAAUUCCAUGUGUAGCGGUGAAAUGCGUAGAGAUGUGGAGGAACACCAGUGGCGAAGGCGACUUUCUGGUCUGUAACUGACGCUGAGGCGCGAAAGCGUGGGGAGCAAACAGG
rnacentral:rRNA from 1 species